rnacentral:rRNA from 1 species
ACGAACGCUGGCGGCGUGCUUAACACAUGCAAGUCGAACGGUGAAGGGACCGGUUUUUGCUGGUUCUGGAUGAGUGGCGAACGGGUGAGUAACACGUGAGUAACCUGCCCCCUUCUUCUGGAUAACCGCAUGAAAGUGUGGCUAAUACGGGAUAUUCUGCGCCUGCUGCAUGGUGGGUGUGGGAAAGAUAUUGUUUCGGUGGGGGAUGGGCUCGCGGCCUAUCAGCUUGUUGGUGGGGUGAUGGCCUACCAAGGCGGUGACGGGUAGCCGGCCUGAGAGGGUGGACGGUCACACUGGGACUGAGACACGGCCCAGACUCCUACGGGAGGCAGCAGUGGGGAAUAGUGCACAAUGGGCGCAAGCCUGAUGCAGCGACGCCGCGUGAGGGAUGGAGGCCUUCGGGUUGUAAACCUCUUUCGCCAGUGAAGCAGGCCUGUCCCUUUUGUGGGUGGGUUGACGGUAGCUGGAUAAGGAGCGCCGGCUAACUACGUG